rnacentral:rRNA from 1 species
CGAGGCAACGCGAAGAACCUUACCAGGCCUUGACAUGCAGAGAACUUUCCAGAGAUGGAUUGGUGGCCUUCGGGAACUCUGACACAGGUGCUGCAUGGCUGUAGUCAGCUCGUGUCGUGAGAUGUUGGGCUAAGUCCCGUAACGAGCGCAACCCUUGUCCUUAGUUACCAGCACGUUAUGGUGGGCACUCUAAGGAGACUGCCGGUGACAACCGGAGGAAGGUGGGGAUGACGUCAAGUCAUCAUGGCCCUUACGGCCUGGGCUACACACGUGCUACAAUGGUCGGUACAAAGGGUUGCCAAGCCGCGAGGUGGAGCUAAUCCCAUAAAACCGAUCGUAGUCCGGAUCGCAGUCUGCAACUCGACUGCGUGAAGUCGGAAUCGCUAGUAAUCGUGAAUCAGAAUGUCACGGUGAAUACGUUCCCGGGCCUU